UGCACGGGCUCCGCGAGGUCCAGGGGCGGAAGCAGCCAAUACGGCGAGCGGUGCCUGUCCGGCGACCAUACGGCCUCCGCGGCGUGCUCGACCUUGCUCCUACGCCUCCUACCCGGGCUGGACCUCCCCCCGUGCGUCGUCCCCACCCGCAUCACCAAGCUCCCCAACGGCGUCCGCGACUCGGCGUCGCCUCCGAGGAUUUCCAGGGAGCAGCACAGGGAUGGCAAUUUUGGCAGCUCUGCUCUGAUGAUGCCGUCAGAGCACAGCUUGCUCGUUUUCAGCAUGAGGAAGAAGAUGAUUUGACAGGGAGCAGCACAGCUUGCUUGUUUUGUUUCUCUGUAGCAAGUUAUUCUAUAAAUACUGAACACUAUGCAAGGAAAUCAGCAGCUGCCAUUGUUCAAGAAUGUACUAAUUCUCUGAACAUUGUUUUGUUUUUCUG
rnacentral:rRNA from 1 species